CAGCCGCCACGGUAAUACAGAGGGUGCAAGCGUUAAUCGGAAUUACUGGGCGUAAAGCGCGCGUAGGUGGUUUGUUAAGUUGGAUGUGAAAUCCCCGGGCUCAACCUGGGAACUGCAUCCAAAACUGGCAAGCUAGAGUAUGGUAGAGGGUGGUGGAAUUUCCUGUGUAGCGGUGAAAUGCGUAGAUAUAGGAAGGAACACCAGUGGCGAAGGCGACCACCUGGACUGAUACUGACGCUCAUGCACGAAAGCGUGGGGAGCAAACAGGAUUAGAUACCCCCGUAGUCCCUGUCUCUUAUAC
rnacentral:rRNA from 1 species